GAGCCUGGCUUUGAACUCAUGAUCCUCCUGCCUCUGCCUCCUGAGUCCCUGGGAUUCUAGGUGUGCACCAUCGUGCUCAGCUUCUAAUUGGAUUCUUAACCACACAUUCUUACAGAUUUUACAUUUAGGAAGAACUAUUAUUAUCUUCCAAAGUUUCAGGAUCUUAAGACAAGUGUCUCUUGGGUUCCUCCCAUUAACAUUAUCUUGAGUCUGCAUUUUUCCUGCAGUUAACAGGUAAUUUGCUGAGGAAUGUGAAAUAUCCUGUCCAUUUAGUCCAGGCAGGGCUGCAGGCCAAUUGCUUCUUGGAAAAUAAAACAUGUUGGGGGUUAGCACAGUGGGCCCAUUGUAGAGAAUUAUUCCCUCAACUUUGUGUUCCCAUCAUUCUCAUAUGUCUGUUCCCUAAUGAGAAGAAUUAUUUUUAAAACUUUCACUUAAUAAACUCAAAGUAUCAAAGAAAAAUGUACAUUGAAGUGUCAGAAAGCUUUAGCUAUCACUUGUAUAAGACAUACUAGGAAGGCAUAUACCUAACACAUGGAACUCUGAGUACUUCCUUAGGCAACUGCAUAUAGUUUACUAUUGCAAUGUUCAUUUUCUUUAUUUUUGAAAACUAAUUUUAAACUUCAGAAAAUAUCUUGAUGAAUAUAAGCACAAAGAUUGAGGACUUACACACAUAUUUCUAGUACACUUAUCUACGUAGCACUGAGAAAAUUGUUUCCCUUUAGUUCAAUUAGAUUCUUAAUUUAGAAACAAUUUUGUCAUUUUACCUAAUGAUUUCCUUCUCAUUUGGGUGACAAUGUUUUAAUCUCAGACUAGGAGGCCUCUAAUUGUGGUUGUUAGCACUUCCAUAUUUCUUCAUUAAGGGUUUGCAAUUCAUUCUCUUUAAGGCAUAUAAUGUUGAAGCAUAGAAAUGCAAAUUAUUAGUCUUGUGUUUAAAUUGUCAAGUAAAAAAGUGAGUGAAAGUAUUUCUAUUAUAUAUUCUUAACUACUUCCAUCUCUUCUUUUAAAUUAUUUUUAUAUAAUAAAUAUUUGCAAGCUCCUAACAUGAACCCAAAGUAGUAGGAGAUAUAAAGAGGAAAAUUCAUAUUCAAACUUCUUUCAGUUGACUUGCAGAAACAAGGAUCAGUGUUGUUCCUCUGAAUUGUACCAAAGAAAUGGAAGAAUGCUGGAAAGUCCUUUCCAUUAGUGCCAUACAUUGAAUGAAUAUAUAACUCAAAUAUUUGUUUACAUUUGUGUCUAUCAUCAUUCCAGAUUUAGAGGAUAAACAAAUACAUGUUUACCUCUAUACCGGCUGGAUUACUAUGAUGAUAUUUAAGAUUUGGAAUAAAGAAAUGAUUACACAUAUUGUGUUCUGUACAUUUUCUCACAUUGUGUCAUAUUUAUUUUUAUGUAUGACACAAUAUACAUAUAUGUAAAUAUAAGCAAUGUAUAUGUAAUAAACAGACUUAAAUACAUAUUUCCCAUGCACACAUAGUAGGUUUAUUAAACUACAUGCACUUUUUAAACCUUUUCACCUUCAUUAUUGAAAGUCCUUUCAGACACCAGGCAUAUGUGUAUUUACAUGACAAUUUCCCAAUAGUUGAAGGACUACAGCUUUAAUCUUCCUUUUCCUGUUCAGUAUGAGCCACUACAUUUUCAGUGACAGAGGCCAAAGCAGAUAUCUGGCUCAUUCACACCUAAUGGAUUCAGAGUUUUCUUUCCCAACCCUACCAAAUGUUCAUUUUAUUAGAGGACUCCACUGCAUACCAGCGAAACCUCUGCCCAAAGUAAACCUAUUGCCAUUUAGUUAUUUCUAUCUUUCUUACAUUUUCAUCAGGUAUGAUUCUCUCUUUCUGGCUCAAAUGACUCACUCACAGUGACAGAAUUACCUGAAAUGGAGCAAAGAUACCUGUAAGUUGGAAUUCUUGCAUGUCUAUACCAUCACAAGUAUGUGAAUUUUAUUUUUGUCUACAGAAGAAUAGGGACUUUUGAGGAUAGGGUCAAUUAAAUGAAGAUCUUUUUUUAUUCUACACGUAAGAAAAUACCAGUCAUUCUCUGAAAGAAUAUUGAGAAGGGACUAGCAUGUACCACAACAAAGUGCUGAAUAUACAGAAAAACAAUGUAUCACAACCUCUACCCCAAACACCCUUUCAUUCUGCAUUGAAAGUUAGAUUGUGAGCAAGAAAGAGAAAUUGUGUGGGAAAUGUUAUAACAAGGAAAGGCAGGAAGUGUUUCCUGUUUACACCACUAAUAUAGGUGUUCUCAGGAAAACUCCCUGAGAGGACAUGAGUCUCCAUACCACAGCUGCCUGACUGAAAGAAUAGAACAAAAAUGUAUGUUGCACACGUAUCAAGGAAUACAAAUUGCACGUUUUUAAUAAGUACCUAUUAAUUUGUACCACUUGUAUCUGUAGGCUGCCCUGAGUUUAUAAUUAUAAACAGAUCUAUAAGCAUAUAGAAUUAUAUUUCUU
rnacentral:lncRNA from 1 species